UAAAAAGGUGAUGCUUAGAGUCUGCAAC
rnacentral:sRNA from 1 species